AAAAAAGGGCUAGAUUUUUUAAUUUUAUUUUAAAAUGUCAUAUUUAAGAACGACUGUAAUAUAAAUUCAUUAAGAGGGAAUCAAAAAGAGUUUAAAGAUCAAGAAUGAGAAAAGCAUCAUAUGACCACCACAAUCCUUUUCAAGUUUUGCACUUUCUGUUUACAUGCUAUCCUACAAAUAGAAAACUUAUUUGGCUUCCUUGCAAGUGGCGACAAAUUCACACCAUGGAUAUAAGGUGUAUAUUAACCUGGUCCAACAUUUUUAUAUCUUGC
rnacentral:lncRNA from 1 species